rnacentral:rRNA from 1 species
GGCGAACGCUGGCGGCGUGCUUAACACAUGCGAGUCGAACGGAAAGGCCCUGCUUUUGUGGGGUGCUCGAGUGGCGAACGGGUGAGUAACACGUGAGUAACCUGCCCUUGACUUUGGGAUAACUUCAGGAAACUGGGGCUAAUACCGGAUAGGAGCUCCUGCUGCAUGGUGGGGGUUGGAAAGUUUCGGCGGUUGGGGAUGGACUCGCGGCUUAUCAGCUUGUUGGUGGGGUAGUGGCUUACCAAGGCUUUGACGGGUAGCCGGCCUGAGAGGGUGACCGGCCACAUUGGGACUGAGAUACGGCCCAGCCUCCUACGGGAGGCAGCAGUGGGGAAUAUUGCACAAUGGGCGGAAGCCUGAUGCAGCAACGCCGCGUGCGGGAUGACGGCCUUCGGGUUGUAAACCGCUUUCGCCUGUGACGAAGCGUGAGUGACGGUAAUGGGUAAAGAAGCACCGGCUAACUACGUG